rnacentral:lncRNA from 1 species
CUGGGAACUGCACCUGCUUAAACAUGGUAACCAUGUGUAAUACAUUCGGCAACUACGUUUGAUUAAACACGACAAUCAUGUGUUUAUAAUAUGGCAACCCACUACUGGUUUACAGACAUGNAAUAAAUGGUGACAUCAAUUAAAAUCUUAGUCCUUUUGCAACUAAAACUAGAACACUGUAAAAAACAGAGCAGGAGCCAACCCAAGGAGCCCGCGUAUGCGGCACCGUUGCCUAGUCGCGUUCAAUAAAAAAAGGAUGAUAGGUUGCUUAAUUGAUUCUGCCAGCUGAGUGCAAAAACAUUCUUCCUUCCGAAUAUGCCUAGAACCAUUCGCUUAUCGUGACCGUUGCAACAAGAAUUUUGCGAUCAGGGAUGAGAGUAUUGCUUUCCCCUUGGUGGUGUUUAUAAUCAUCAGAUACUCUAUCCCGACUUCAGCGCAAUUGGCUGGUAAUUCUCCCUUGAUGUACACUGAAUCAGCAAGAUCACACAUGUGUGCAUAGCUGUUUUUUUUACUGGACAAUCAUCAAGCUGCAUGUUUGAAUGUGGAGGAAUAAAAUGUUAUCAUCGCAAUUGUUAUUGGCUGAAUGAGUAAAACAAGAAGAAAAGUCUUGCCCCCUAUGGUAAGCUAAACCUGCGCUUGUGCCUGCUAUGCUAUGGUGAAAAAAAUCUAAAAGGGGGGAGUGCUUAUUUUUGGCACCCAGUGUCCUGUUUUCUGAAAACACUAAAAAGAACUACUUUUGUUUUGUAAACGUUUGUUUAAAGAAAAAUGCUUAGUUGCCAGAUAAUUCGUAAUUGGUUGCCAAUUUUUUUGAACUUAGUAGUCAGAUUACAACUACUUGGUUGUCAUAUUAUGAUUACUUUGGAUGUCGGGUUUAAAAAAAAACACAUGCUUGCCAGAUUUUUAACUUGCUUAACCUGUCAGUGGUAAAUAAUAAUAAAAAGUUCCUACAAAUUAUGAAAGGUGUGCAAAAUUUAUAUUAAAAAAAGCAUGAAAAAGAAAGCGUGAAGAAAAGGCUAUCAGGGACACAAAAAAGAAGUUUACUCUUUGAUUUUUUGACUUCGUGUUCCUUUGGUAUCUGUUGCUAUGCAUCAGCUUAUGAUACAUGUCUUCCUCUUCGUCCAUAAAUGCAAAUUAUGGAAACUGCUCUUUGAUAUUAUUUUUUUGGAAAAUCACUCUAUAUAUAAGAAAUAAUGCAAACCUACUCUAGUAUGAAAAUGGCACACUACACUAUGGUAGUGCAGCGAGAAAAAUGCGUUGUGAUAGUGCGGCUGUGCUAUGGAUAAUGUGACAACCACUCAAUGGUUUAUAUUGUCAAUGGUAAAGAAAAAUGGCAACUGCAGUGAGACAAUCAUAAGAAGUGAUGUGAGGAUGUUGUGGAUCUCUACCAAAAUGAAAUUGAUAGGUGUCUAUCACACUGUUGUGAAUGGACUAUCAAUUAAAUCGCCCUCAUGCACUCAAAACACUAAACGAAUAAUCAUGCACUCUGACUGAAGGGUAAUCAUGCGGAUUCAAAAAAAUGACAAAGCUUAUUUGAUUCGUCUCACAAGCAAAAGGCAGAACGGUUACCAAGUUUUGAACAUCAUGCAGGUUUAUUCUCAAACACAUGUUCUGAAUCUCUUUGCUACUCUGAAUGAACUGCAUGAAGUGGCACAAAACACACAUGAUCUGAGUCUCUUCCUACUCAAAAUGAUCUGCAUCGGGUGCCACAAAGAAAACAUGUUGUGAAUCUCUUACUACUCUGAAUGAACAACAUGUACAAGCACACGUUUCUGAAACUACUGCUAUUCUGAAUGAAUUGCAGGAAAUUAGCAGGCGGUGAAUGAAAAACAAAUCAAUGGAUUGUUCCUGACUAGCAGUAGAGCAAGCAGGGUUGAGGACGCCGUUGGCCUACGCCGGAGAAGCACCCUACCAUCAGCAUUCAGCAGCACCGUUGUCUUCUUUAUCCCCUCACUCACAAACCGCGCGCCUACUCCUCCCUAGCCGGCGCAGAUCGAGCGAGCCUCCCUCGUCCCCCAGGCCCACCACACCAAAAUCAAACCCCGCCGCUUCCACGACGGGACAUGGCGGUGGUUGCUGCCACGCAGCCGCUUCCACGACGACGGCUAGUGUGGUUCCCUUCGUGGCGUCGUUUUUUAAAAUUGUCGCUUCGCCUCGCUCAAGAGAGAGGAGAAAAAAAUGUGAGAGGGAACAUAACAUCGGCGAACUCACCCGAUCGGAGUUGCCUGCGCGCCGACGAGCAGAGGGGGUCCGAUCGAGAGGAGAGUAGCCGUCUCCGCCUUUCCCACGAAACAGGUGAGCCACCGGGGUGGAGGAUGAAGGGGAAUAGGGAGGAGAACAAACAGCACCGAUGGUAGCGCGCCGCCGCACGGGACACGAUAUUUCACGUACGAACCGUACGUACGUCAGUUAGACUCAAACUGCAGCGACAGCUGGAUUUUCCAUCUCGUACUGUAUGAGAAUAGGAAAAAGGACUAGUCGUACGUGCAGUAGUUUAGUAGAUUUUCCCAGUUUCCCUAGAUAAAAUCUAUAUACACGGUUUCCCGCAAAAAAAAAAAAUCUAUAUAAACGGCGUG